ACUGGGCCCCUCACCCCACCUCGGGGAACCGAGUCCGCUUCCUCCCAGCUCGGGAGUCCACGCCCCUUAGUUUCCUCCUCCCUCCUCCCUAGUUUCCUCCUCCCCAAACCCAGGAGUCCGGCCCCCAAGCCUUUCCUCCCUCUGACCCGGGAGUUUCAACCCCCCCGGCUUUCUCUUCCAUCAGGACUUUUGGUGCUGGCCACCCUCCUACUCCGCGGGCAGCAAGAGCGCUUUUAUGGAAACCUGUGCGGUGGUUUGGCACAUUGCUCCCCCAGGAGACUCUCAGCCCACGUGGAGCUGCUCACCAGUUGGCACGGACACCAUAUUGACUCUCAUCCAGGGCCAAGGCUUUGGUCAUGGCUGUUACUGCCCCCUGCAGAAGACGGGGCAUGGAGAAAGUUCAGACCAGAGAAGAUGAGGUUCCUUUUGUCCUCUCCUCCCAACCAGGGGGCAUCAAGCAGGGGCAUCAGAAGAGGGAAGUCACGCUCUCCCUGCAGGUUUCGUUGGGCUGCACCAGGCUCUGUCUCUUGGGAGACCCUUGAUGUAUAACAACAUGUCACAGGUGGCGGCCAUGCCUCAGGGCUGAGGCUCCUGAAGGAAGGGGCAGGGUACCUAGGUGGUGUACCUUGGUGGCCACAUAGGGAACCGCCUGGGACUGGCCAAUUGCCCCGACCAGGCUGGAGAUGUUGAUGACAUUCCCCCGGCUCUUGCGCAGGUGAGGGAGGGCGAGCUGGGGAGACAGAAGGCAGAGUAAGCCACCCAAGCCCCUGGAUCUCCCCCCACCCCGUUGAAAUGCAUCCGAUGACCAUCUCCCGGGUAUGCUCACUAGUUGAUCUGGGUACCUGUAGGGACAGCAGCCAGGGUUCUGGGUGCACCUUCUCUGGUUUGCCUCAGGGUCUCUGGGUCUCACCCCUUAAGGAGUCUCUCCUUGUCUGGAAGGGAUUUUUCUGUCUCUUCUACUGCCUGCCUCUCUCUCUGUCUCUGCCUCCCCUUUCUGUGUCCUUGUCCCCCUCUCUCAGGGUCCCUGUGUCUCUCUCUCUAGGCCUUUGUAUAUUACUCAAAACUCCUGUCCAUAACAAGAUAGGAAAAUGCAAGAGAGACCAAGAUGGCUGCAUAUUUUACAAAAAUGGGACGAAUCUCUUUCAUCCGUGGAGGGGAAGAUGGUUUCUCUGAGUUUUAGGGAAAGCUCUGUGGUCAGAAUGUGCCAUGGGAAGACUUCAUGAAAUGUACUCCGUAUUCUGCCAACAGAAUUGGCAACCCCUGGCUAUCCGGAGGUCCCUAAACUAACUCUCAACUCUUUCCCUCUCCCUUUCCUUCUCUCUCCCUCCCAGUUGGUCUCUCUGUUCUUCCAUUACACAUGACCUUGAAUAAACUCAAAUUCUAUCCCUCCCCUUGCUUGCCUUGGGCAAGGACUGUUCCUGCCACGAAAGAUUAAUGGACACAAGCUGGCUCACCCAAGGGAUACUCAGAAUGGGAAGCUAAAUUAGCUCUCUCUCUCCGGUUCACCCCACCAGCUCUUUCUAACCUCCACUCCCUCAGAAACAAACGGCCUCCACCCUGUCCCCAGUGCUGUAUCUUCAAACACUCCCCGAGUUCCAACCUCAGGGCCUUUGCAUUUGCUGUUCCCUCUGCUCAGAAUGUUUCUCCUGACAUAGCAUGUGACUCACUCCUAGGGUGACCAACUUUCCUCAGUUUGCCCAGGACUGAAGGGUUUCUGGGGACAUGGGACAUUCAGUCCACAGUUUCAGGGCUAAAGUGGGACAAUACUAUCCCCUCAGCAACUUCAAAUCCUGUUCAAAUGUCAUCUUCUCAGUGAGGAUUCCCUGACUGUUCUAUUUAAAACUGCAACCUGCCUACCCCUGGGUCCCCAGCCCUCUUCCUGAUUCCUUUUCCCUGUGUCACACACCUCCUUCUGACAUGCCAUAUAUUUUUCUUUACUUACUUAUUUGCUUAUUCUGUGUCUCUCCCACCAGAAUGCAAAAACCCACGAGGGACAGUUGGAAUUUCUUAUUUUGAUUCAUCCCCCGUACUAAGGUGUCUGGCACAUAGUAGGUGUUCAAUAAAUAUCU